AGACUUUUUUUAAUUUAUUUUUUUUAAGGGGCCGUUGGAUUUGCCCUAAAUUGAACGAUUUCUUGCUUUCUCACCUACCCUCUCUCACUUCGACUCUCUCGCUCUCUAUCUCAUUCGAGAAGGAGAAAAGCCGCACACUCUCUUUGUUGCUCUCAAUUGCAAAGAAGUUUCUCUGAUCAUGUUUCUAUCGUCUUGAAGAGAGUCAAGACAUCAUCAGUGCAGUGAAGGAAGAUUUGAGAGCUGUAAAGGAAAGAGACCCAGCCUGCAUAAGCUACGGGCACUGUUUCUUGAAUUUCAAAGGGUUUUUGGCAUGCCAAGCCCAAUCUACUGCUCAAUCUUAGUCUCUUUUCAGUAAUUAUCCUCUCCACUAAAUUACUCUCAUUCUUAGGCGCUAUCUGCAUUACCGUGCGGGUAAAGGGUUGGACUUCAGAAUCUUUCUUGAGGGUUCUUAGCAAAUUUCAUUUUCUUCUACUGAUAGAUUGUGGCUGGUCUUUUACAGCCAACCAGUGGAGCAUUGUAUGAGAAAAGGCCUAAAAGCUUUGUUUUCCAAAACCUGGACCAUCAGGUAGUAUCUUUUUUUUUUUUUUUUCCUUACUCUUUUUAUUUAUUUAUUUAAUUUGUUGGCUUGGAAAUUGAAUUAAUGUCAAUGUGAGAGCAGAGGCAAUAUACAUGGAAUUGUGAGCCUCAAUUUCAAAUAAUAAAAAGCUUAUUGUUAAAUUUUAUACAUGUCGACUUUCUUAAGGGGGAAUGAUUUACAACAUAUGAACGAGAAAUCUAUAUGGAAUGAAGAAAUUGAUUUGAUCAAGUUUAAUUCAAGAGUUAUAAGAUUUUAAAGUGGCUUUGUGGACAUAUUUAGUUGAACUUGUGAGAGUACACAAGUAAAAAUAUCGAAGAGCCCAUUUUAUAUUUGAUUGAACAUGAAAAGAUACACAAUGAAAAGCGUGAAAGGAAUUUUAUUUAAUACUUAGGAGGAUUUUAAAAAGAUUAUUAGGAUGGAAUGUGUGUUUAGGGUUUGAUGGGUUAGUCUAAGAUGGAUGGAGUGAAUGAUUACUCUGAGGUGGUGGGUGGGUUUAGUGCUAAACAUGAUUAGUACCACACAUAUGUCAACUGGUUUUCCAAAAGAUUUCACACCUUUUUUUUCUUUUCUUUUCUUUAGCCUAUGAGAUUAAAUUAAAAGAAAAAGAAAAAAAGGUGGAAUUUUAAUUAGGCCCUUCAUUUUUCUAAUGCAAGUGUCUUUUUUUCUUUUGCCCCCCUUGAUUAGGCAUCCCAAUCAUGCUUUUGAAUGAAUGUUUCAAAAGGUACCCAAAUUUUGAGUUGGGUGGCAUGUCAUAAUUGGGAUAUUUGAUCUGUCGAACUUCAAUUAUAUUAAAAAAUUUUAUAUAUUUAUAUUAUAGAAAUUUAAAAAUUAAAAAAAAAUCUUUAUUUCCAUAACAAAGGUAAGAUGGGGCCACUUCCAUUCAUACUAAGCCUGUUUAUUUUAAGCUUUGCACUUGGACGGACUAACUAUCCCAUCUUGCAUAAGCUACGAGCACUGUAUUUUCUACCCCGAAUACUUCUGUUAUUAGAUUUUACUAUUGUUUAAUGAUUUUUUGCAUUUAUUCUCUAUGCUGUGAUAAUUUUCUAUUUUGUUGUAUUUUUAGAUUUUAAUUUCAAAAUUGAAUGGUUGAAGGUAAAACCAACCAAGUAAAAGCUUGUGAGGCUUUUUAAAUGGGAUUAUUUGUUUAUUUAUUCAUUUACCGUUGGGUGUUAUAUAUAUAUAAUUUUAAUACUAAUUUUAUAUAUAAUUAAUUUUAUUUUAUUUACCUUUUUAAUUACUUUUUUAAGUUCUUAAAAUAUUUACUAACAGAAUUUCUUUUUUUUUUGGAACUACAGUCUGUGCCACUGUCUUUUGAUCACUGUCUCUUGUUAUUUUGUUCCUGGCUUUCAGUAUUACACAGGAUGCGAGGCAACAAUCGUAGGGGAGGUUUGUUGGGUCAUUCAUAGUCAAGGCAAUUACCUGUGUGGGAUGAGCCCAAGGAUCAGCUUAACUAAUCUACACAGGGUCAGCCUCAGGUUCCUUCGCCAUCCACUGGGAGGUCGACACCAGUCCGGAGGGGUCUAUUGCUUCAACACAGCAUCGAGCUACAUCUCCACCUCCACUGCCACCACCUAUUACCCCAUCUUUUAAGCCUGCAAUUAGAUCGACCUUUGGUCAUUAAGGUCAUUCAGUGGGGGCAAUACUAAUAUCAUCGAUGGAUGGCCUAUCACUCACUAUAUUUGGAAGAAAGAAACAAAUAAAGCUCAUUAAUGGCGCGUUACAUCCAUUUGAGGAAUGUGCUAAGAAGAUGG